rnacentral:rRNA from 1 species
AGUGAACGCUGGCGGUAGGCCUAACACAUGCAAGUCGAACGGCAGCACAGUAAGAGCUUGCUCUUACGGGUGGCGAGUGGCGGACGGGUGAGGAAUACAUCGGAAUCUACUUUUUCGUGGGGGAUAACGGAGGGAAACUUACGCUAAUACCGCAUACGACCUACGGGUGAAAGCAGGGGAUCUUCGGACCUUUCGCGAUUGAAUGAGCCGAUGUCGGAUUAGCUAGUUGGCGGGGUAAAGGCCCACCAAGGCGACGAUCCGUAGCUGGUCUGAGAGGAUGAUCAGCCACACUGGAACUGAGACACGGUCCAGACUCCUACGGGAGGCAGCAGUGGGGAAUAUUGGACAAUGGGCGCAAGCCUGAUCCAGCCAUACCGCGUGGGUGAAGAAGGCCUUCGGGUUGUAAAGCCCUUUUGUUGGGAAAGAAAAGCAGCAGGUUAAUACCCCGCUGUUCUGACGGUACCCAAAGAAUAAGCACCGGCUAACUUCGUG